UCUUGGUUUUCGUAAACAAAAAUUGUGCCAUAGAGAGAUUAUUUUCCAUUCAUAUUUUCUCUGAUCGGAGGAGUUAACCCUUUUAAUGAAUGGCUAAUCCUGCUGUUGUGAAAGCUAUUCUUCUGGAUCCUUCCUGCUCUGGUUCUGGGACUGCUGCUUCAAGACUAGACCAUUUGCUCCCAUAAAGAAGCAAGUUACAUUUAGUUCUACGUUGUAGAUUGUAUCUACGUAAAUAUCAAAUUUUGUGCACAUAGGAAAUGCCCAUAAGUGUGUUUAAAUUUAACAGUGGUAUUGAAAAACUGGUUAGCUUAUAAUAUUAUCAGACUGGGUCAUAUCAUGUAUCAUGACUUAGUUUGAGCAAUCAGCACUUUUUUUUUUCUCGUCCGUACGGACCACAAAAUGAAAUCCUCAUAUAAAAUAGAAACUAUAAUUUUAUGCAUUAGUUUAAAGUGCUUUUGUUUUGGAAGUACAUGUUAUUAACAUUUGAGUCUAACAACUCAUCUUUAUCUACUUUUAUUUGUGUUAUUAUUUAGAUCACUAUAUAUAAUAUAUGCCAUUCAAGUAAUAAAAUGUAUAUAUCCUGCGAAACAACAUUUUAGACCUUGAGGAAAGCAAUUUUUGUUUCAUUCUACAAAGAUCUGGGGAUAAAACCUUCUGGGGUUUUUGAUAAACUUCUGAAACAUUGUUUUCUGCAGUCUGCACUAGAAAUUCUCAUUUCUGGUCAAUAGUAAUAUACAUUGUUGAUUCAUAUAUGCUAACUAUUUCUCAUUUAAAUUUAAAAUUCUAAGAUAAAAAAUUUUAUGGUGUGAUUUUCAUUAACAAGAGCAUCAUUAACCCUUCAGAGGGAAGAGGAAGCUUUCUCUCCUUUCUCAAGAGUAGAGGAUGGGCUACAUCUCUAUCUGCAGGUGUUGGGGAAGAAGGAAUUUAUGGGUCAUCUAUUGCUUAUGUCUUUGUCAUGUCCAUACACCUCACUGACUCUGGUGUAGAAAAGAUGCUUGAUAUCAUUGGCUUUGUCUAUCAAUACCUUAAGUUGUUGAGCCAAGAUUCUCCACAAGAAUGGAUAUUUAAGGAACUUCAAAAUAUUGGAAGCAUAGAUUUCAAAUUUGUGGAAGAGCAGCCUGAGAUGAUUAUGCUGCUAGGCUUGCAGGUUUCUAAAAUUAUUUUCUUGAUGCUGUUUUCAUGGCAAUAUAGGGUUAAACUUUUUCUUUUCUUUUUUCUGGUAUGAGUUAAAGUUUGUUUAAUAUGCGGGGAGGAGAGAUCCUCUGAUGUUAGUGCCUUUUGAAAUUUUUAGUGUUUGAAAUGAUGCAGUUUUGGUACAAGAACAUAUCCAAAUCACUACUUAUUUCAGUGGAUUAUGAUGUUAGUUUAUGUUGGAUCUUUGUCGUAAAAGGAUAGUAACUACUUUUUUUUAUAAACAUAGGAUUAAACCGAAGCACUCAA